UCAAGACUCCUUGAAAAUAAUUACAGGU
rnacentral:piRNA from 1 species